rnacentral:rRNA from 1 species
UACGUAUGGUGCAAGCGUUAUCCGGAUUUACUGGGUGUAAAGGGAGCGCAGGCGGCACGGCAAGCCUGAUGUGAAAGCCCGCGGCCCAACCGCGGGACUGCAUUGGGAACUACCGGGCUGGAGUGCCGGAGAGGUAGGCGGAAUUCCUAGUGUAGCGGUGAAAUGCGUAGAUAUUAGGAGGAACACCAGUGGCGAAGGCGGCCUACUGGACGGUGACUGACGCUGAUGCUCGAAAGCGUGGGGAGCAAACAGG